GACGAACGCUGGCGGCGUGCCUAAUACAUGCAAGUCGAACGCAGUGGGGACGGGUGAGUAACACGUGGGUAACCUCCCAUCAGAGGGGAUAACACUUGGAAACAGGUGUUAAACCGAGAGUGAUGGAUGGACCCGCGGUGCAUUAGCUAGUUGGUGAGGUAACGGCUCACCAAGGCCACGAUCCAUAGCCGACCUGAGAGGGUGACCGGCCACACUGGGACUGCGACACGGUCCAGACUCCUACGGGAGGCAGCAGUGGGGAAUCUUCGGCAAUGGACGAAAGUCUGACCCAGUAACGCCGCGUGUGUGAAGAAGGUUUUCGGAUCGUAAAACUCUGUUGUUAGGGAGGCGGUAUCUAACCAAAAAGCAACGGCUAACUCCGUGCCAGCAGCCGCGGUAAUAC
rnacentral:rRNA from 1 species